GAUGAACGCUGGCGGCGUGCCUAAUACAUGCAAGUCGAGCGAACAGACGAGGAUCUUGCUCCUCUGACGCUAGCGGCGGACGGGUGAGUAACACGUGGAUAACUUACCUAUAAGACUGGGAUAACUUCGGGAAACCGGAUCUAAUACCGGAUAAUAUAUUGAACCGCAUGGUUCAUUAGUGCACGCCGGUUUUGCUGUCACUUAUAGAUGGUUCCGCGCCGCAUUAGCUAGUUGGUAAGGUAACGGCUUACCAAGGCAACGAUGCGUAGCCGACCUGAGAGGGUGAUCGGCCACACUGGAACUGAGACACGGUCCAGACUCCUACGGGAGGCAGCAGUAGGGAAUCUUCCGCAAUGGGCGAAAGCCUGACGGAGCAACGCCGCGUGAGUGAUGAAGGUCUUCGGAUCGUAAAGCUCUGUUAGUAGGGAAGAACAAAUGUGAAAGUAACUAUGCACGUCUUGACGGUACCUAAUCAGAAAGCCACGGCUAACUACGUG
rnacentral:rRNA from 1 species